rnacentral:rRNA from 1 species
UACGUAGGGUGCAAGCGUUAAUCGGAAUUACUGGGCGUAAAGCGCACGUAGGCGGCUUCUUAAGUCGGUGGUGAAAUCCUGGAGCUCAACUCCAGAACUGCCUUCGAUACUGGCGAUCUUGAGUCCGGAAGAGGUGAGUGGAACUCCUAGUGUAGAGGUGGAAUUCGUAGAUAUUAGGAAGAACACCAGUGGCGAAGGCGGCUCACUGGUCCGGUACUGACGCUGAGGUGCGAAAGCGUGGGGAGCAAACAGG